GCGGGUAUAGCUUAAUGGUAAAGCCCCUGCCUUCCAAGCAGGUUAUGUCGGUUCGAUUCCGUCUACCCGCU
rfam:Silicibacter lacuscaerulensis ITI-1157 genomic scaffold scf_1113211289287, whole genome shotgun sequence.